GUGUGUUCUCCAGCAGGGAGCUUUCUUCCUCCCUCCCCACGCCAGCCUCCACCACCGGCCACAGCUCCCUGGUGCUCGCCCCUCCCAGGUCCGCACUCCAGCCCUCCCCAUCCUCCUCUUGCUAUGGUGCCCAGCCGAGCUCUCUCCCCUUCCUGCAGCACACGUCGUGCUCCCUCCCAUGGCCGAUGCCCCUCUCUGGAGCUCGCCCCUGCCCUCUGUCCAGCGCCCUCCCUUCUCGCCGUUCCUAUCCCCCUGUCAUGGAGUUCGUCGUCAGUCCGAGCUCGCCCAUCCUUUGCUCGGUUUCAACUUGGUCGUGCCUGCAGACCGCCUCCUUUCCUGCAGCAGGUCAGCGCCUCUCUGUUUUUCCCACGGUUGCGCACUUAUCUGUAGCAGCCCCUCGCUGCCGGACAUCCUCCGGUAAUCCCGCACCAUAUCCCGCACCAUCCGCACCCGUAUGGUGUUUGAUAAAAUGUCCAAGUGGAGUACCGUGUCAUGGACAACCCUAUUAGCGUCGUGGGAUGUUUGGUAUUUUGUGCAGCCCAUCCACGACACCAUCGACCCUCGGUGAGAUUUCAUUCUUGCUUUGUCAUUUCAUCGAUCGACGUCUAUUUGCUAAUGUAGAUUGUGUUUAUGUGCCUAUGUGUGUUGAGGAGCGAAAUCCGUGGAAUCUGGGUGAAGAAGAAACAUAGCACGUCCGUCGCUUACUAGCUGCUGGGUGAAAGGAUUGAAUCGGCUGUCGUGGUCGUUUAGUGCCGAUCGAGUCAACUUUAGUCAUGAUUCGCUAAUUGAUCACGUGAUGUGGACGACAAGAGCCGAGUUGAUCCCAAAAUGAUGCUGGUGAACGAACCUGAAGCUUGGAUGAUCUGGUCAAGUACCAGGACGAGAGAUGCUCCCUAAUCGGAUGUCAUCUAACAACACUAACUUAGUGUUAUCUCAGGUUGUAAUUUUGUUCUGUUGUGGAUGGUGCUAAGUGCCGGUGGGCUCGGCCUUCUUCUAUAAGUAUAUCCCGUCUUUAGUUUCUCUAUUGAGGAUUGUCACUUAAGUUAACAUGUAUUUUAAAACUUAUAAAUAUUUUAUACAUUUUAAAUUGUAAUUCUAUUUAAUCAUUUUCUUUUGUAAUCACUCCGAUAAUUGUAUAAUGUAAACUUAUUGUAACAUGUAAUCAUUUUGCAAUAAA